rnacentral:rRNA from 1 species
GAAAGUAGGUAAGGGCGUAUAGUGGAUGCCUAGGCUUUUAGAGACGAAGAAGGACGUGAUAAGCUGCGAAAAGCUCCGGGGAGCUGCAAAUAAGUAUUGAUCCGGAGAUAUCCGAAUGGGACAACCCAAUAUCGUGAAGCGAUAUUAUCCCGCAGGGGAAGAGAACUUGGGGAACUGAAACAUCUAAGUACCCAAAGGAAUAGAAAACAAUAGUGAUUCCGUUAGUAGUGGCGAGCGAACACGGAAAAGCCCAAACCAUUAGUGUUACGGCACUGAUGGGGUUGUAGGACCAUAUAAAACAUUAGAUUCAGAACUAGAAUAGGUUGGGAAGCCUAUCCAAAGAGUGUGAAAGACACGUAUAGGUAAAGGAUUUGAUGUUGAUGGUAUCCUGAGUAGGGGGGGGCAGGUGAAACCCCCUUUGAAUCUACCGGCACCAUCCGGUAAGGCUAAAUAUUACUAAAAGACCGAUAGUGAACAAGUACCGUGAGGGAAAGGUGAAAAGCACUUCGAAUAGAAGGGUGAAAUAGUACCUGAAACUGUACGCCUACAAGCGGUAGGAGUCUUGUAAUGAGAUGACUGCGUGCCUUUUGCAUAAUGAGCCUACGAGUUACUCUUCCCUGGCAAGGUUAAGGUUUUAAGGACUGAAGCCGUAGCGAAAGCGAGUCUGAAUAGGGCGCUUAAGUCAGAGGAGGUAGACGCGAAACCUGGUGAUCUACCCAUGUCCAGGCUGAAGUUGCGGUAACACGCAAUGGAGGGCCGAACCAGUUGACGUUGAAAAGUCUUUGGAUGAGAUGUGGGUAGGGGUGAAAGGCCAAUCAAACCAGGAAAUAGCUCGUACUCCCCGAAAUGUUUUUAGGAACAGCCUCGGGACAAGUUUAACGGAGGUAGAGCUACCGAUUGGACUAGGGGGUGUCACAACCUACCGAAUCCAGACGAACUCCGAAUGCCGUUAAAUAAGCCCGGGAGUGAGGGUAAGGGUGCUAAGGUCCUUAUCCGAGAGGGAAACAACCCAGACCAUCAGCUAAGGUCCCUAAGUCUAUACUAAGUUGAUCUAAGGUGGUCCAGUCACAGAGACAGCCAGGAUGUUGGCUUGGAAGCAGCCAUGCAUUUAAAGAGUGCGUAACAGCUCACUGGUCGAGUGACAGGGCAUCGAUAAUAAUCGGGCAUUAAGUAUAGCACCGAAGCUAUGGUUGCGUUUAGGCGCAAGGUAGGGGAGCAUUCUAACAGCAAUGAAGCUAUUCUGUAAAGUUUAGUGGAGCAUUUAGAAAAGCAAAUGUAGGCAUAAGUAACGAUAAGGCGGGUGAGAAACCCGCCCACCGAUAGACUAAGGUUUCCUGAACAACGCUAAUCGGUUCAGGGUUAGUCGGGACCUAAGGAGAACCCAAACGGGGUAUUCGAUGGAUAACAGGUUAAUAUUCCUGUACUUGCCAUAUACUAAAAAGUGACGGAGUAAAUAUAGAUGUGCGUACUGACGAAAUAGUACGUUAAAGUCUUUAGACGAUAGUACUGCAAAGCUUCGGUGGCGCAGAUAAUCAUCUUAACCACUUCCAAGAAAAGCGAAGUAUGGCAACUCGUACCGUAAACCGACACAGGUAGUCAAGGAGAGAAUCCUAAGGUGCUCGAGUGAUUCAUGGCUAAGGAACUAGGCAAAAUCGUCCUGUAACUUCGGGAGAAAGGACGCCUCCCUCGAAAGAGGAGGCCGCAGUGAAAAGGCCCAGGCGACUGUUUAACAAAAACACAUGGCUUUGCGAAAUCGAAAGAUGAAGUAUAAGGCCUGACACCUGCCCGGUGCCGGAAGGUUAAGGGGGGAUGUUAGCCGUAAGGCGAAGCAUUGAACUGAAGCCCCGGUAAACGGCGGCCGUAACUAUAACGGUCCUAAGGUAGCGAAAUUCCUUGUCGGGUAAGUUCCGACCUGCACGAAUGGUGUAACGAUCUGGGCACUGUCUCGGCCAUGAGCUCGGUGAAAUUGUAGUAACGGUGAAGAUGCCGUUUACCCGCAACGGGACGGAAAGACCCCAUGAACCUUUACUAUAGCUUAACAUUGGUAUUGGACAAGUAAUGUGUAGGAUAGGCGGGAGGCUGUGAAAUGGUGUCGCUAGGCAUUGUGGAGCCAUUGUUGAAAUACCGCCCUUUGCUUGUUUGAUGCCUAAUCCGCAAGGAGACAUUGUUUGGUGGGUAGUUUGACUGGGGUGGUCGCCUCCAAAAAAGUAACGGAGGCUUUCAAAGGUACCCUCAGUACGGUCGGUAAUCGUACGUAGAGCGCAAUAGCAAAAGGGUGCUUGACUGUGAGGCCAACAAGCCGAUCAGGUAGGAAACUAGGAUAUAGUGAUCCGGUGGUACCGCAUGGAAGGGCCAUCGCUCAAAGGAUAAAAGGUACUCUGGGGAUAACAGGCUGAUCUCCCCCAAGAGCUCAUAUCGACGGGGAGGUUUGGCACCUCGAUGUCGGCUCGUCACAUCCUGGGGCUGGAGAAGGUCCCAAGGGUUGGGCUGUUCGCCCAUUAAAGUGGCACGCGAGCUGGGUUCAGAACGUCGUGAGACAGUUCGGUCCCUAUCUGUUGUGGGCGUAAGAAGCUUGAAAGGAUCUGACCUUAGUACGAGAGGACCGGGUUGGACGAACCUCUGGUGUACCUGUUGUGGCGUCAGCUGCACCGCAGGGUAGCUAUGUUCGGAAGGGAUAAGCACUGAAAGCAUCUAAGUGCGAAACCCACCUUAAGAUGAGGCUUCUAUAUAAGGGUCGUUAGAGAUGAUAACGUUGAUAGGCUGCAAGUGUAAAGUCAGAGAUGGCAAAGCUGAGCAGUACUAAUUGCCCAAUUACUUUCUUAA